UACAGAGGGGGCAAGCGUUGUUCGGAAUUACUGGGCGUAAAGGGCGCGUAGGCGGCCCGCUAAGUCGAACGUGAAAUCCCCAGGCUCAACCUGGGAACUGCGUCCGAUACUGGCAGGCUUGAAUCCGGGAGAGGGAUGUGGAAUUCCAGGUGUAGCGGUGAAAUGCGCAGAUAUCGGGAGGAACACCAAUGGCGAAGGCAGCUCGCUGGGACGUUACUGACGCUGAGACGCGAAAGCGUGGGGAGCAAACAGG
rnacentral:rRNA from 1 species